rnacentral:rRNA from 1 species
CUGUGCUAAGGNAGCGAAGUCAUUUGUUUUUUUAUUGAAAACUUGUAUGAGGGGAGGAAUGGAAAGAAGUUUAUGAAUUUUGUUGUUUGGGAAUUUUAAUUAUUUAUGAAAAUUUGAAUGUUUCUUAAAAGACGAGAAGACCCUAAAAUCUUUAUUUUAAGUCGAGGGGCUUUAAUUUUUAUUUGGGGGAAAGUUGGAUUUUUAUUUGUAGUUUUAUUAUUUUGAACUUUUUUAGGUUGAUUGGAUAGAUACUUUAGGGUUAACAGGAUAAUUUAAUUUGAAGUCU